CCUACGGGAGGCAGCAGUGAGGAAUAUUGGUCAAUGGACGAGAGUCUGAACCAGCCAAGUAGCGUGAAGGAUGACUGCCCUAUGGGUUGUAAACUUCUUUUAUAUGGGAAUAAAAUGUUCCACGUGUGGGAUUUUGUAUGUACCAUAUGAAUAAGGAUCGGCUAACUCCGUGCCAGCAGCCGCGGUAAUACGGAGGAUCCGAGCGUUAUCCGGAUUUAUUGGGUUUAAAGGGAGCGUAGGUGGAUUGUUAAGUCAGUUGUGAAAGUUUGCGGCUCAACCGUAAAAUUGCAGUUGAAACUGGCAGUCUUGAGUACGGUAGAGGUAGGCGGAAUUCGUGGUGUAGCGGUGAAAUGCUUAGAGAUCACGAAGAACUCCGAUUGCGAAGGCAGUUCACUGGAAUGCAACUGACACUGAGGCUCGAAAGUGUGGGUAUCAAACAGGACUAGAUACCCGAGUAGUC
rnacentral:rRNA from 1 species